UACGGAGGGUGCAAGCGUUAUCCGGAUUUACUGGGUUUAAAGGGUGCGUAGGCGGGUGGGUAAGUCAGAGGUGAAAUCUCCAAGCUUAACUUGGAAACUGCCCCUGAUACUAUCCAUCUUGAAUAUCGAUGAGGCGGGCGGAAUACAUCAUGUAGCGGUGAAAUGCUUAGAUAUGAUGUAGAACACCGAUUGCGAAGGCAGCUCGCUAACCGAUUAUUGACGCUGAGGCACGAAAGCGUGGGGAUCAAACAGG
rnacentral:rRNA from 1 species